ACUUGUGCCCAGAGUUUGAUUUUCCACAGACCAGGUAGAGGCCAAGAGCCUCUCACAGACUCUGCAGCAGGGUUGCUAUGAUUAACUCUUAAGUACUCCACAACUACACGCUUUUGAAACUGGCGUUGGCAUAGCGUUAGUUCUGUGCAGGGCGGACGCAGCAGGACAGAAUCUCCCUGGGCAUCUUUUCGGAGCAUCAAUUUUACUGCAAAAUUUUGAAAAAACAAAUUUAAUUGAUUUCCAAGGUUUGUCAAGGAGGACAGAAACUCAGAGCACCCUGCACUUGGGGAUCGGCACUAGGAGCUGCUCUCUGGAUGGGGAGAUGGGAGCUAGCAGCUCACAAUGGGGUCACAAGACAGGAGUGUUAUUGGGAGAAUCCUGUUUUGUUGACAAAUACUGAGAUCAUCCAACUCACCAGGCAAAGUUGACUUGUGUAAGUGAUCUUCAGAUAUGAAAAGUGUGGAACCCAGCUGCUCCUCCUCAGAUAGGCGACAUGACAAUUGUAGGCCUGGAGGGAGAUGAGUUGACAACAUCCCUUCCCUAUAACCACUUGUUGGAUCUGAUCUCACAUACACAGACUCACUCCAAAGACUGACCUGGGUGUCUGCUUCUCAGCUUCAUUAACAGUGGGUGCUCACAAGUCUAGUGGAGAGAAUGUCUGAGAAGAGGAGGACCUUGACUGCUCCUGAACCGGAGACCUCAGAACCAUGGUGCUCUCCUGUCCAGGCUGAACACUAAUGCUCUUGAGAGUCACAUUGAAGAAAGCCAACAUUUUUAAAUCUAAUGGAUACAUUCAUUUUGUGGUAUGUGAUGUUUAGAAAGAGGGAGCUAAAGUUAGUGGUCAUGAGCUAAAUACCCUGUGAGCAUCUUCACUCUCCUUCUGUAUCACAGACUAAAACCCACUGACUUGAUCAUCUGUCCCUUGCCCCUCGUCCACAUAGUGAACUUCUUCAUUGCACUGUUAUUGCAGUCUCCAAAUCUGUUUGCAUCAUUGAACUUCAGAAUGACUUCAAGUUAGUAACAGGAUCUUCUACACUGUAGCUGCUUCCAGUGUGAGCCAGACAAAUGUACUGAAUAUAGGCCUCAGAGGUGAUCCCACCACCUUCACAGCAAUGGUCCUUCCCCAGGAGCUUCCCCUGAGAAACGGGCCAUCCAGACCAUACUGCUGCUGAAUAAUGUCUCAUUGGAAAUCUCAACAUUCUUCAUUUAGAACACCACCGCCAAUAUCUACCAUAUGCCGGGAUUAUUGUGCAGGGUAAUUUUUAUUAUUACUUGAAUGUAUAUUUAUAUACUGCAGGAACUAUACAUGUUUAUGGCUAGAAUUACUGUUUUUCCUUAAUAUUAAGAUAGUAUUGGUAGAUUUAAUUAUCUGAAUUUAGUCAUUUGGCUCCAGUCAAAAUGGUUUCUCCUUAGCAGUACUCUGACUUUGUAAAAGUAAUCACAUUUGGAUUCUGUUUCCUCCAGUAGUUUUUAAAAUGAUUUUUUUGAUUAUUCAUAUAACUUUUUUUUAAUGAUCUUUUAAAAACUAGUAUGUGGUUAUAUAUUACUUGUUACACUUUUUGUUUUCUUUAUUUUUUGGUUGGUUACACCUUAAAUGAUUAUUUCUAUUGCCUUUUAAUGUUACUUAGAAAAUAUCACAUGUAAGACUUUUGCUUUUAUAAAGUUAGUAAUACAUUUUCAAGCCUAAACUCUUGAAAUUUUAAUAAUUUCUAUGAUAUUUGAAAAUUAUUUUUAUCUUCUUUUGAGUGCUAAAAGAUAAUAUUUGUCUACCUGAUUAACUAGCACAACUUUUAAAAAGUUAUUUAGCACUCUUUAUAUUCAUUCAUUUGUUU
rnacentral:lncRNA from 1 species